UACCGGCGGCUCGAGUGGUGGCCACUAUUACUGGGCUUAAAGCGUUCGUAGCUGGGUUGUUAAGUCUCUUGGGAAAUCCACCGGCUCAACCGAUGGGCGACCAGGGGAAACUGGCAUUCUAGGGACCGGGAGAGGUGAGAGGUACUCCAGGGGUAGGAGUGAAAUCCUGUAAUCCUUGGGGGACCACCGAUGGCGAAGGCAUCUCACCAGAACGGCUCCGACAGUGAGGAACGAAAGCUGGGGGAGCAAA
rnacentral:rRNA from 1 species